UUCAAUACCAGUGACGUUGGCUCUCGCUCGGAAUGGCAUUAUCUUGCUACGGCUUGUGGUGCGUCCGUUGCGUAGUGUCCGAUGUUGUCGGUGUGCACUUCUCCCCUAGUAGGACGUCGCGACCCGUUGGGUGCCGGCCUACGGCCCGGUAGGUUGACUGACGCGAUCGCGUUCGCGCGUACCCGCGUUCAGACACCGCUGGUUGUCCGGCCGGCUGCUCGGCGGUAUAGAAUUUUUUAACACGGUAUUGAGCCGCACUUAAGUGCGUUCGGCUCGUCGGCAGGCACGCAUCGUGCGGCGUUACGGACCUGGUGCCGUCGCUGUUACAUCGCGGAGCUGUUAGUCGACGAUGUCCUCGGACCGGCUCUUAACAUUCGAAUGGAUAUACCGGUCAGCGACGCUACUGCUUUGGGUACUUUCAGGACCCGUCUUGAAACACGGACCAAGGAGUCUAACAUGUGCGCGAGUCAUUGGGACAUGUUAAGCC
rnacentral:rRNA from 1 species